CACCAAGAAGGGAAAACUUUUGAAAGGAAGAAAGAAAACAGCUUCAUCCUCAUGAUCCACGGGAGAAUCUAAGGUCAGAAGAAACGGGUCUACACCUGGCCUGGCAACACCGCUGGCAGGACUCCUGACACGCAAGGACAUUCCUGUGUGUGAACACUGUCUAAGGUGACCUAGACACAGGAUUUCGAAAAGAGCAGAGCCUCGGACCUGUACCCCAGCUCAUGACUGGACAUUUCUACUUGGUGCACUACAGAACACCGUACCUGGACAUGAUACACAGUGGGCUCACUCAAAGAACUAAGGACUCGGCCAGGUGCGGUGGCUCACGCCCGUAAUCCCAGCACUUUGGGAGGCUGAGCUGGGUGGAUCACCUGAGGUUAGGAGUUUGAGACCAGCCUGAUCAACUUGGUGAAACCCUGUCUCUACUAAAAAUACAAAAUUAGCCGGGUGUGGUGGCGCAUGCCUGUAAUCCCAGCUACUCAAGAGGCUGAGGUGGGACAACUGCUUGAACCUGGCAGGCGGAGGUUGCAGUGAGCUGAGAUCAAGUCACUGCACUCCAGACUGGGCAACAAGAGCGAAACUCUGUCCAAAAAAAAAAAAAAAAAGAAAGAAAGAAAAAGAAAAGAAGAGAACUAACGACAGUUGGGCCUUUGCGGGACCAGACCUGAGAAACUUUAGGAA
rnacentral:lncRNA from 1 species